ensembl:lncRNA
AGCGCGCGAGGGGCGGGAGUCUAAGAGAGGAAGGGAUGGAGAAUAAACGGAACCCCCUUUCUAGACACCUCCCCCUUUUCUCCUGGGGAGAGGAGCAGCCUGACCCCAACAAGCUUUGUGAAAGUUCCCUCAGUGGAGUGAAAGAGAGACGGAGAGAGAGACACGGGAGAAGGGAGAGAGCGAGGACAGGCACCGGCGAUAAAAAUAAGAGUGGAGGAAAGGAGAGAAAGAGAGGAAGGACAACGUUUUAGUAAUUAAAAAUACAUUUAUAUAUUUUUUACCCCUUUUUCCUCCCCAAUUUUGUGGAAUCCAAUUGGUAGUUACAGUCUUGUCUCAUCACUGCAUCUCCCGUACGGACUCAGGAGAGGCGAAGGUCAAGAGCCGUAUGUCCUCUGAAACGAGGAAGGACAAAGUUGAGUUGAGUGGCAGAGUCCGAGAUAGACUGAGGAAGAGAGAGAGAGAGAGAGAGAGAGAGAGAGAGAGAGCAGGGAAUCAAGUAAGCAAGUAAGAGAUAUACUGCAACCGUCUCACCUCUUCCCAGACGCGUCAUGGAUUUGCGGUGCUGGAUAGCCCUCCUGUUUGGACUAGUUGGGAAUCAGGAGUAGCAGGAGCAGCAGCUUCCACCCGAAGGAAGGAAAGAUGCCUUCUGUGUCUCUCAGCCUGCCCGUUGCCCUAGCCGGGCGAGCCCGCACCUGGGUCUGCCUCUCCUGCAUGUUCUGGCCUGAGGAGUUUGAGGGGAUCCAUUCACACACCUUUCGGGUGAAGACAUUCAAGAAGAGCAAGCACUGUGGCGUGUGCAAACAGACCGUCAGCCAGGAGGGGCUAAUUUGCAAAGUGUGCCGGCUGACUUGCCACAAGACAUGUGAAGUGAAGGUAAGAGCAGCAUCUUUUCUCAGGGCUCUUAUGUUGCCGAAUGGGCAUGUCUAAGCAAUGGGAACGCAGUCUUUUUUAGGCAGCUACACUUUUUACAUGUAGGUUGUUAUGAACUGUCAUUACAUCUUAUGUCAUCACGUCACAUCUCAAGUGCACAAGAGUCAAGUACAGUGUAGCUCUACCAAGUCAUCCUCUGUUGACGCAACAGGAGGCUGCUGAGGGGAGGAGGGCUCAUAAUAAUGGCCGGAACGGAGAGCGAAUGGAAUGGCAUCAAAACACAUGGAAACCAUGGAAACCAUGUGUUUUACUGUUUGAUACCAUUGUACUGAUUUCUCUCCCUCCCAUUACCAUGAGCCCGUCCUGCCAAAUUACAGUGCCACCAACCUCCUGUGGUUAGCUCUUAGUGGUUUAGUUAGCUCAACUCUCUUUCCUUCAAAGCCAAGCAGAGCUUAUCAGAAGGUAAUGUUGUGUUAAUGAGGUGGACGGGACCUCGGCAGGAACAGUGUUCCUGCACUCCUAAUGUCGGAGGAAUCUGAAAACAAGUGCAGGCUGUCCCAGUAUGUGUUUGACUUGGCUGAGCCUUUGUAUGUUCGACAUCACCCCCUUCUAAAAAUAAACGUCAGUUCGCUACAUGGUCGACGGGCUUGGUGUGUUUGAAGGGGGGGCACUUAGAAGAAGAUGGGAAGUAGUGAUGGAAAGAGAGAGAGAGGUGGUGAAGGAGGGCUGGAGAUGAGAAAACCUAGAUUUUUUACAAUACGUUGCAGUGAGAGAUUUACUAGACUUUAGAUUUAUAGCACACACACACACACACACACACACACACACGUCACCGCCCUUCAUCUGGCAGCCAUUACUGAAAUGUUCCAGAGGUGCCAGCUCUACCCAG